rnacentral:misc_RNA from 1 species
AAGUCGUAACAAGGUUUCCGUAGGUGAACCUGCGGAAGGAUCAUUAUUGAAUAAACUUAGCAGGUUGUAGCUGGCUCCUUGGAGCAUGUGCACAUCUGUUACUUUUAUACUUUUCCACCUGUGCACUAUUUGUAGACUUUGGAUUUUUCUCGAGGAUUAACUCGGAUUGGAGAUAUGCUGUGUGAAUAACUGGCUUAUCUUGCAUUUCCAAAGUCUAUGUUUUCAUAUACUCUAUACAAUGUUUUUGAAUGUAUAAACAUGAAUCUUGUAUUCAUUUAAACAAAAUACAACUUUCAGCAACGGAUCUCUUGGCUCUC